GCUGUGGUGGCCUAGUGGUUAGAGUGUCUGCUUUGAAUGCAGGAGGUUGUGGUUUCAAUCCCCGGUCUAGUCAUACCA